AAUGAACGCUGGCGGCGUGCCUAAUACAUGCAAGUCGAGCGAACAGACGAGGAGCUUGCUCCUCUGACGUUAGCGGCGGACGAGUGAGUAACACGUGGAUAACCUCCCUGUAAGACUGGGAUAAAUACGGGAAACCGGAGCUAGUACCGAAUAAUAUAUUGAACCGAAUGGUUCAAUAGUGAAUGACGGUUUUGCUGGCUCUAGUAGAUGGAUCCGCGCCGCCUUUGCUAGGUGGUAAGGUAACGGCUUACCAAGUCAACGAUGCGUAGCCGACACGAGAGGGAGGUCGGCCACACGGGAUCUGAGACACGGUCCAGACUCCGACGGUAGGCAGCAGUAGGGAAUCUUCCGCAAUGGGCGAAAGCGUGACAUAGCAACGUCGCGGGAGGGAUGAAGGUCUUCGGCUGGGAAAGCUAUGUUAUUAGGAAAGAACAAAUGUGUAAGUAACUAUGCACGUCUUGACGGUACCUAAUCAGAAAGCCACGGCUAACUACGUG
rnacentral:rRNA from 1 species